UACGUAGGUGGCAAGCGUUGUCCGGAAUCACUGGGCGUAAAGGGCGCGUAGGCGGGUAAUUAAGUCAGAUGUGAAAACUCCGGGCUUAACUCGGAGCAUGCAUCUGAUACUGGAUAUCUUGAGUGCAGGAGAGGACAGUGGAAUUCCUAGUGUAGCGGUGAAAUGCGUAGAUAUUAGGAGGAACACCAGUGGCGAAGGCGGCUGUCUGGACUGUAACUGACGCUGAUGCGCGAAAGCGUGGGGAG
rnacentral:rRNA from 1 species